UUUGCAAGGGGGAAUGGCGUCCGGGUUCCACCCACAGGAUUGCAAGAAGGCACUGGCUGGUAUCAAGAAUGUAUUUGUUGACAUAUGCAAUCAAUCUGAAAUGCUUUUUAUGUCUAAAUUUUUACAAGGAACUCAAGGUAGAUUGUAUUCUGCUUGCUGGUUACUUAAUUUAUGUUCUUGUUGAGCUUGUUCAGGCGUAUCAAAGAUCAAUCCUGAAUAUCCACCCUUCUUUGCUCCCAGCAUUCAGAUUCAAAGUUUAUUAUGGUUUGAAGACGCAUAAAGCAGUCAUUGCAUCUUUUUUUCUCACACACUUCUUUUUUUCCUUCGAACACCAGCAGUUAGUGCAUCUGGAGCAAGGUACAUUACAAUCUGUAAAUGCCCACUAUUAUUUUAAAGUAAAGUGACAUCUUAGAGUUACCUCCAAUAGUCCACUUUAUAUGUUGCACACUGUAAUGGGAAUAUUGGUGUAACUGUUUUACAAUGUAUGAUUAAGUUGGUUUUUUUCUAUUGUAUUUAUGCUAAACCAUUAAUUCUAUUUAACUUCUAGAAGAGUUUAUUCUUUAAACCUGAUCAUAAUUCCCUAUAAUUUGCAGGUACUCAGGACCUACUGUGCACUUUGAUGAGCAUAAUGACACAGGGAUAACUCUAACCCAAAGAAUUGUGCCUAUGUUAGCCAAUGAUACCAGUGAGCAAUUGCCUGCUAAAAUCCUUAAUAAGGAGCAUCUUGUUUAUGUUGAGGCAGUUCCUUCCCUGUGUGAUGACCAACUUGUGUGGCGUGAAGAUGGUGUUCCUCUAAACAGAAGCCAUACAGAUCCAGAUGAGUGCACCUAAUUCAUUAUAUUGUUCCAUGGACUGCUGAACACCAGGAAAUGAGGCUUGUAGAACUGAUACUGUUUGGGAAAAAUAACAUGUUUAUACUCUGACAACAAAAACACGAUGCCUUGCUCGUUUUCAAAUGACACGUUGUGUGGCUUGCCAUCUCUUCAACUAUAAUUUAUUGUUGUAUGCCUUAACUAGACAAGAGCAGAGCUUCAUGGAGCUUCGCCCUUCCCUUAGUACAGUUGCACUUUACAGUUUCAUGUUAUCAUUUGAGGAGGCUUGCUGCCAUGUAUGGCUACUGCCAAAUCAAUUGUAGAGGAUAGUGAAUCUGGUUGUAUGCAGAAAACUUCCGACAAGUGUUCCACCUAACGAGCUUUCCAUAUCCUAUUUUCCUUCUUAAUUCUACAGAUGUUAACACUUAGCACCAGUGAUGUUUUUUCUUAGGUGCUGUGUUGUUUCUUCAAUUGUAAUAAUGUAGCUUUUGUGAGAGGGAUAGAAGAAGGGGGUGGUGCAAAUGGUAGCCAUUCUUUGCGAACCCUCUCGAACAGAAAGGUUCUGUGGCGUCUUCGGACAUAGAUAUGACAUUGCUGUCUCUAUCCAAGUUGCCUCAACUAGCUUUGGAUGAAGGCUUCGUCUAUCCUUCUUCCUCCCUUGUUCCUGCCGCUAAUCUUGGACCAUACGAUUCCUUCACGUUCACACCUCAUUUUCCACUCAAAGUCUCGUGUAUCGACUUGUGAUUACUGAGUGUUAGUUCAGGAGGGUUGCUAACAUGGCCCCUGUGGAUCUGUCAAAUUGCAGCGCUGCCAUGCCGCGGCGCUUCAGUUUGAACUCCGAACAUGAACCCUCUCGGCGGUGCUCGCCAGUCAGCACAACACAAGCUCAGGACAUUGGCUGAUGGAAGGCUGGCGGGCGCCAUCAUCCCUGACACUUACUAGCAUUGCUAGCCCUCGGUUUCUGGGGUUCAGAAAAAAAUUCACAUUGGCACCAAUGGUAAGUGGACUUUGCUAACAGAACGAAGCAAGAUAACCGUCCAGGCAAGAUGCACAGUGGAGAAAAGAAAAGCGAAAUGAUCCACGAGCAUGAUCUGCAAUGGAGAAAAGUCUACUGGUCAUCCAGGCAGGAGAGGCAGGUGUCCUCAUCACUAAGGCUGUAAGGCAAGCAGGAUUUCUUUUCUCAGUUGCAAUUUGCAUAAACUAUUGUACUUUGCUGAUGCACACACAAGCCUCAAGAAAACAAUAAUUAUGGCAUUACCCCAUGAUUACGGAGACACAAACAUUACUCUCUGGUCGUUUAACUUCGUGUU